rnacentral:rRNA from 1 species
UACGAAGGGGGCUAGCGUUGUUCGGAAUUACUGGGCGUAAAGCGCACGUAGGCGGACUAUUAAGUCAGGGGUGAAAUCCCGGGGCUCAACCCCGGAACUGCCUUUGAUACUGCUAGUCUCGAGUCCGGAAGAGGUGAGUGGAAUUCCGAGUGUAGAGGUGAAAUUCGUAGAUAUUCGGAGGAACACCAGUGGCGAAGGCGGCUCACUGGUCCGGUACUGACGCUGAGGUGCGAAAGCGUGGGGAGCAACAGG